GACGUAGGGCGCGAGCGUUGUCCGGAUUUAUUGGGCGUAAAGAGCUCGUAGGCGGCUCGUUGCGUCGGCUGUGAAAAACCCGCAGCUCAACUGUGGGCUUGCAGCUGAUACGGGCAGGCUUGAGUUCGGUAGGGGAGACUGGAAUUCCUGGUGUAGCGGUGAAAUGCGCAGAUAUCAGGAGGAACACCGGUGGCGAAGGCGGAUCUCUGGGCCAUUACUGACGCUGAGGAGCGAAAGCGUGGGGAGCGAACAGG
rnacentral:rRNA from 1 species